rnacentral:rRNA from 1 species
AUUGAACGCUGGCGGCAUGCCUUACACAUGCAAGUCGAACGGCAGCACGGGCUUCGGUCUGGUGGCGAGUGGCGAACGGGUGAGUAAUAUAUCGGAACAUACCCUAGAGUGGGGGAUAACGUAGCGAAAGUUACGCUAAUACCGCAUACGAACUAAGGUUGAAAGUGGGGGAUCGCAAGACCUCAUGCUCAUGGAGUGGCCGAUAUCUGAUUAGCUAGUUGGUGAGGUAAAGGCUCACCAAGGCGACGAUCAGUAGCUGGUUUGAGAGAACGACCAGCCACACUGGAACUGAGACACGGUCCAGACUCCUACGGGAGGCAGCAGUGGGGAAUUUUGGACAAUGGGCGCAAGCCUGAUCCAGCAAUGCCGCGUGAGUGAAGAAGGCCUCGGUU